UUAACAUAUAAUUUAGAUGGAAAGAAAGUCCAACACUUAAUCAGGAUCAGUGAUCACACAAAAUUACCAAGUAGAAGAAAGGGUCAACAGGGUCUUCCAAAAAGAUGAAUUAGUCAAAUGUCCCAAAGAGGAAGAAACUACAGCCUAGACCCAAUGCCUCAUCUUACAGGAAGUGAAACCACUAGAUGGUCCUACUCAUUUUAAUAAAACACCAAUAAGGAAUACAUAAUUCUUUAAAAAGGUAACAGACCAAGUCAAUAUAUCAUACUGAUAGGAUAUUGGGUUCUGUAACUCUGGUAAAGUGAGACUUUAAAAGUAUGUUAUUUCCUGAAAGACAUCAGGUUGUAAAAAAAUAAAACGCAAGUGAAGGUGUGACCUUAAAAAUCAUGUUGCAGUAAGGCCAGAAGUUAUUGCAGCCUGAUGAUGUGUCUUGUACCCAGACCAAAAAUGGAUCAGCCAGUAAUCCAGAUUCUGCUGCCUUGGCUGGGCUGAGCACGUAUACUUUUUCUUUGGGGUCUAGUAAUAUUACUCCACCCCUGGGAAGGAAUAAAAAUAUAUUACUAAAACCCUAGGAAGAUAUUAAAAUAAGUAUACUAAUAUCCCCUCAGAAGGUAUAAAACAAGCACAUAAAUUAUCAAAGAAAUGAAUAAGUCCAUUGUUCUGAGGCUUUAGAAUACAUUCAAGUGUAAGUAUAAUAAUAAGCUUUGUAGUCACUGCAUUUGUGAAAGUUUUAUAUAUUUGAAGUGUUCAAAAAAUCAGCCAUAAUAAAUCUGCAGAUGCAUUUUAAAAGAUAUAGGAGAAAUUAAUCAAACUAUAGUCAGUUUAAAAUUUCAAGAUACUUUGUUUUAAAAAUAUUUUUUAUUAGGUAUAUGAGUUCAGUAAUUUGAACAUUAAACAAAAUACAAGUUUCUUGCUCCUGACAGGAAAAUUUAGAAACCUGGGCUGUGAGGUCCCUUCCCCUAAAUCAUCCCAGAGGAAAUUGGAAACCUUUCUUGCACAUUAGAAUUACCCAGGAAGCUUUAAAAUCUAUUGAUAAUCAGGGGCCCUCCUUGGACCAUUCGUAUCAGAAUCUUCAGAAGCAGAAUCUGGGCACUAGGGUAUUUUAAAUACUCCACAGUUCCAGCUAAUAUGCAGCCAGAGUUAAGGAAUUAAUAGAGGAGUUGAGAAGGCAGAGUUUGCGGAACUAACAUCAAAACUUUGAAAAGGCCACAAGGAGACCAAAGACAGUUGUGAGUUGGUGUAGAAGCUCAUGGCAGUCUGGGAUGGGGACAUAGUGGAGCAGUAGGUGUAGCUAUGGCGGGUGAAUUUUCUGUUACUUAUCCCCUACGUUGAUUUGGCGGGAUGUUUUUCUGAUCCCAUCACUUCCAUGGACUGGAAAUUAGCAAGAGCAGACCGGUUAUGCAUAUGGAGGGGAUGGAAGGGUUGGGGAGAUGGGGAGAAUAUCAGGGUAGCUUUAAGACCCUCCCAAGUUGAGAAUCUGGUGAGAACACGUGUAUAAGAUCUAGCUGCCCUACGGCAUUUGCUUCCUCCUUCCCUUCCUCUCCAUACCCUCAGUGACAGUGGAUUGCAACCUAAGAAGUUUAUCUCCUCUUGGAGAUAACCUUUUUUCCAGGAAUUUAAGGAAGAUUCUCUGAAUGGAGGCAAUGCCUGGUGAAGGAACUGGGAAUGGAGUUGGUCUGCAGGUUCUGUGAUGUGUGAUGCUCUCAUUCCUAGACUUCCCCAGCUUCCACAAAUAGUCCCAAGGAUCAAUACCACACAGACUAUAUUCUCUGACCACAGUGCAAUUAUGUUAGAAAUAAAUUACAAAAGAAUAAUUAUUGGGAGAUGAUUCUCCAUAGGUCUCUUGUGUUUCUGUAUGUCUUCUGAGCAGAGGCAUUGUCAGCUUUUAAUUACCUUUUCAAGGAUGUUUAUGUAGCAAACAGCCUUGGAAAAUAAAGAUAGCAUCUCCCUCCAUGGCAGAGGGCAGGUGUGUUUGCUCUCUAGUAAAACGAAGGUAAUGUCUCCCUGUGGGGCAAAGAUUGGGUAGGUUGGCUUAUACCCCCUUAUGAAAGAUUGGAGUUUCCUAAUCUCAGGGUCCUUCAACUGUGACUGAAACCUACUACAGGUGCAGCAUCCUCCUGGACCCAUAUAUGCAUCACUCUUGUAGGACUUAGGAGGCAAGGGGAACCAAGAGAAAAUGAAGUCAUUUGUCUUUGAUCCAGGAGUCUCAUGUCUUCCGGCAUUGUUUUUGAAACUGACUGGCUACCUUGGUACCUUACAAGCAGAACCAGAUUUACCCUCCUGCCUUAAACAAUGAGAAAAACUGGACAGGAUAUGUGGAGCAACUGCUUUAAGAUAUAGGAUGAUAUGAAGAUGAAGCCUGUGAUUCCAGAGAGAAGGGAAACCAAUGAGGUUGGACGAAAAUUGAGCCAAGAGCUGGAGGCCAGAAGUUCCCGCUCCUGCCCUACACAUCUAGACUUUGCGUUUUUACAUUUUCUACUACAUUUCAAGGCAAGUAACUUUAAUUUUGCUUCUCUGUCCUCUGUCACUGUGAAAUACCACAUCUCCAUGGGAAUAGAGGAUGCCUUUAGCUUCAGCAAACCUGCUAAAAUCCUUCUGGAAUGUGAUGUAGCAGGAUUUGCCUUUCCGUUGGUGGAGGUUCGGGCCUGUACGAAAAGAGUUGCUUAUUUCCAGAAUGCAAACUCUCCAAAUGCAGAGAGACAGGAGAUCUCUCAUGGAGGAAGCAGGGUCUUCAAAAAUUAAAAUGGAAAAUCCUUAGGCAAGAAAAGCUUGUCUUAAGUUUGGCACAGAAUUUGGGACCAUUGCUUCGGGAGUCAUUGACACCCAGAUGGGAAUGGAAGCCUCCAGGAUGGGUGAGGCAGCUCAGGGAGAACAAGUGUGUGCAGGGGGAAGGGAUGACUUGGGAGAGGAGGCUGUGGGAUGGGUACUAUCUUGGGUCUGUUCCUAAGAGGCAUGUUUUUCCAGCCUCUUCAUGCCAUCACACACCUCCACUUAAUAGAGUGUUGCAUUUCUUUAUUCACUUAUUGAAUUAUACAUUCUUUCACUUACUCACUUGCUCAUUUAUUCAAAAAGCAUUUAUUCAGCACCUACCAUG